GACGAACGCUGGCGGCGUGCUUAACACAUGCAAGUCGAACGGAAAGGCCCUUCGGGGUACUCGAGUGGCGAACGGGUGAGUAACACGUGGGUGAUCUGCCCUGCACUUUGGGAUAAGCCUGGGAAACUGGGUCUAAUACCGAAUAGGACCACGCGCUUCAUGGUGUGUGGUGGAAAGCUUUUGCGGUGUGGGAUGGGCCCGCGGCCUAUCAGCUUGUUGGUGGGGUAAUGGCCUACCAAGGCGACGACGGGUAGCCGGCCUGAGAGGGUGACCGGCCACACUGGGACUGAGAUACGGCCCAGACUCCUACGGGAGGCAGCAGUGGGGAAUAUUGCACAAUGGGCGCAAGCCUGAUGCAGCGACGCCGCGUGAGGGAUGACGGCCUUCGGGUUGUAAACCUCUUUCACCAGGGACGAAGCGUAAGUGACGGUACCUGGAGAAGAGGCACCGGCCAACUACGUG
rnacentral:rRNA from 1 species